GAUGAACGCUGGCGGCGUGCCUAAUACAUGCAAGUCGAGCGAACAAACGAGGAGCUUGCUCCUCUGACGUUAGCGGCGGACGGGUGAGUAACACGUGGAUAACCUACCUAUAAGACUGGGAUAACUUCGGGAAACCGGAGCUAAUACCGGAUAAUAUAUUGAACCGCAUGGUUCAAUAGUGAAAGACGGUUUUGCUGUCACUUAUAGAUGGAUCCGCGCCGCAUUAGCUAGUUGGUAAGGUAACGGCUUACCAAGGCGACGAUGCGUAGCCGACCUGAGAGGGUGAUCGGCCACACUGGAACUGAGCCACGGUCCAGACUCCUACGGGAGGCAGCAGUAGGGAAUCUUCCGCAAUGGGCGAAAGCCUGACGGAGCAACGCCGCGUGAGUGAUGAAGGUCUUCGGAUCGUAAAACUCUGUUAUUAGGGAAGAACAAAUGUGUAAGUAACUAUGCACGUCUUGACGGUACCUAAUCAGAAAGCCACGGCUAACUACGUG
rnacentral:rRNA from 1 species